UACGGGGGGGGCAAGCGUUGUUCGGAAUUACUGGGCGUAAAGGGCGCGUAGGCGGCCUGCUAAGUCGGACGUGAAAUCCCCCGGCUCAACCGGGGAACUGCGUCCGAUACUGGUGGGCUCGAAUCCGGGAGAGGGAUGUGGAAUUCCAGGUGUAGCGGUGAAAUGCGUAGAUAUCUGGAGGAACACCGGUGGCGAAGGCGGCAUCCUGGACCGGUAUUGACGCGUGACGGCGCGAAAGCCAGGGGAGCAAAGCGGGA
rnacentral:rRNA from 1 species